UUGCAUGGAAGUGGCAUGAGAGAAGUAGGUGGCCAGAAGGAAGAGUAGGUGCAGUUUGUCUUUUUAGAGCAACCACUACUUAUUCCAAACAAAUGUCAGAUUGUGGCUGACUUAGACUCUAAUUAAAUGCUUUACUCUAAAAAACAACAACUCAUAGUUAUUUUGUGAAACAGUAAAAUGCCAGUAUUUUUUUCUCUUCAAAAUGUUUAAUGCAUAAUACACCUCACCUGCACAAACUGGGGAAGAAAGUCAGCAAGUUCAUCAUCAUUUAUUGCCUCAAUCCACUGCACAGCUUUUGUUCUUACUUCCUGAUCUGCAAAACUAUAAUGCAAAAAAUAACCACUAAUGAAAAACAGGUUGCUUACCUGUAACAGAUGAUCUCUGUGGGGAUCCAUAGUCACUCACAACUGGGUCUUCUGUGCCUGCGCAGGAGUCCUGUGGAGGAAUCUAUAGCUCCAAUUAGGUGCUCUCUGUCUCUUUAAAGCAUAGGGAUACCGGAGCCUAUAAAGCAGACUGUAGAGUGCCUCCAGUUCCUGAAUCGGCCGCUGCGAAGAGACUGACAUUGAGAGAAGAACACCAUGAAAAAACUACAGGUUCGAUCUGAAGAUAGAGAACAGCCACAUUUGAAGUCUCCGCAUUCGAAGACUGGCGUUGGCCACCGUCGUGGUGCAUGAGGCCAUCAGGCCCAGAAGGUGCUGUAUGGAGCGGGCCCUCUGCCUGGGUGAGGCCUGGAAAGCUGCAACCAGGGCUGAAAUGGAGUGGAUGUGUUCGAUGGUGUUGGAAGAGGCAUUUGGAGAACUGUCAGGAGCCUCGUCUAAAGAUGCUCCUAUCUUGAGAAGGUUUAUAUUCUGUAAUGCAGCCUGAGGAAUAAGGGGAAAGGAGCAUACCUUCCAUGAGGCAGCACAAGUGGUGGACGAGAAGGAACUGAAGAGGGAGGCACUCUACAGUCUGCUCUAUAGGCUCUGUUAUUCCUACACCUUAUAGGGACAGAGAGCGCCUAAUCGAAGCUAUAAAUUCCUCAGUGGGACUCCCGUACAGAUGACCCAGUUGUGAGGAUCCCUACAGAGAUCUGUAUUUAAUUUAAGUGUGAAAAGAAUAUACAUCCCUAGAAAGUUUUUGAACAAAUGCCGCUGUAUCUAUUGAGGAAGAAUCUGAAUCAGUUCUCAGUCCACAUCUGCAGGGGGGCUCAGUAAAUUUUCUUGAGAACUCUCAAGAACCCUCACUGUGCCGGGACUGCUAAAGCAAUUCAGCAAAUGCAUAAGCUAAAGUCACUCUUCGAAUCAUCAGAAAAGAUAUAUUGGCUGACACUAUAGGCAGUGACCUGUUGAUGUGAUCAGCUGUGUUCAGACAGAAAGCCUUCAGAGUAGUUGCUCUGCAAGUCUGAUGGGCAGGGAUCUUCACACAACCCUCAAGGACUUAUCUCUGGCAGCAAACACCACUUUUGCGGGAAGGGGAGAGAAUUGAAAAUCCAAUCCCCUCUCAUUCUCAUUCUCUGCAUGUUCCCCUGCCCAUCAGACUUGCAGGGCAACUUCUCUGAAGGCUCCUUACCUCAAGACAGUUCUGAUCCCAUCAACAGGCCACUGUCAUCAUGUCAGGCACUGGAUUGGACUACACAAAUAAAAGUGACUAAUAAUUAUCUCUCUCUAUAAAAACGACAAGAAAGGACACAAUAUCCUGUCAUCUUUCAUUCUGCUUUGAAGGCCUGUUGAUCAGAUCUUGAACACAGUUCUAUAUACUGAUUAUCAGCUUAACAUUGGCCUAACAUCCUCCAAAUGCUAACAUUAACAACAUGGUUUGCGUACGUUCUGGUUUCCGAUUCCCGAACAUGUAUUUUUUGACAUAACAUAGUACCCUCAGGAUCAAGCUGCAAGUUUAGUAAAUUAAUGAUUUAGAACUGUAACACUUACAAAGAGAAGAAGCAU